CACUCUGGUUGGAUGUCCACCGAUGACUUGAAAGCGGCAGCCUCGCGACGUGGCUGGUUUUGGUUGGAACGGUUGAGGUUGUAAAGCCGGUCACGGCGGGCCCGUUCCUUUUCCGCCUCCCGUUUACGAGCUUCCACCUCUUCGUCACGUCGCUGUGGAAGCUGCGGCCGGUGUUGAUUGAACCGCCACUUGGGCCCGAAUUUGGGGCGGGGAGGAGGUUUUCCAUCUACAAGGCGGAAUGAUGAAUCAUCACCGGCAGCAGUUGCCGCGGGAAAGGAAUCAUCGGCGGUGAAGUCAAAAACUGAAUCCGACGCGGUUUUGUUGGCGUUCGGGCGACUUGCGUUGGGAUUGUUGACA
rnacentral:misc_RNA from 1 species